rnacentral:rRNA from 1 species
GAUGAACGCUGGCGGCGUGCUUAACACAUGCAAGUCGAACGGGAAUUAUUUUAUUGAAACUUCGGUCGAUUUAAUUUAAUUCUAGUGGCGGACGGGUGAGUAACGCGUGGGUAACCUGCCUUAUACAGGGGGAUAACAGUCAGAAAUGGCUGCUAAUACCGCAUAAGCGCACAGGCCUGCAUGGCUCAGGGGAAAAAACUCCGGUGGUAUAAGAUGGACCCGCGUUGGAUUAGCUGGUUGGUGGGGUAACGGCCCACCAAGGCGACGAUCCAUAGCCGGCCUGAGAGGGUGAACGGCCACAUUGGGACUGAGACACGGCCCAGACUCCUACGGGAGGCAGCAGUGGGGAAUAUUGCACAAUGGGGGAAACCCUGAUGCAGCGACGCCGCGUGAAGGAAGAAGUAUCUCGGUAUGUAAACUUCUAUCAGCAGGGAAGAUAGUGACGGUACCUGACUAAGAAGCCCCGGCUAACUACGUG